rnacentral:rRNA from 1 species
UAGUCAUAUGCUUGUCUCAAAGAUUAAGCCAUGCAUGUCUAAGUAUAAGCAACUUGUACUGUGAAACUGCGAAUGGCUCAUUAAAUCAGUUAUCGUUUAUUUGAUAGUACCUUACUACAUGGAUACCUGUGGUAAUUCUAGAGCUAAUACAUGCUAAAAACCCCGACUUCAGGAAGGGGUGUAUUUAUUAGAUAAAAAACCAACGCCCUUCGGGGCUCCUUGGUGAAUCAUAAUAACUUAACGAAUCGCAUGGCCUUGCGCCGGCGAUGGUUCAUUCAAAUUUCUGCCCUAUCAACUUUCGAUGGUAGGAUAGUGGCCUACCAUGGUGGCAACGGGUAACGGGGAAUUAGGGUUCGAUUCCGGAGAGGGAGCCUGAGAAACGGCUACCACGUCCAAGGAAGGCAGCAGGCGCGCAAAUUACCCAAUCCCGAUACGGGGAGGUAGUGACAAUAAAUACUGAUACGGGGCUCUUUUGGGUCUCGUAAUUGGAAUGAGAACAAUUUAAAUCCCUUAACGAGGAACAAUUGGGGGGCAAGUCUGGUGCCAGCAGCC